CCUACGGGAGGCUGCAGUGAGGAAUAUUGGUCAAUGGUCGGGAGACUGAACCAGCCAAGCCGCGUGAGGGAUGAAGGUACAGAGUAUCGUAAACCUCUUUUGUCAGGGAACAAAGGCGGGGACGCGUCCCCGGAUGAGUGUACCUGAAGAAAAGCAUCGGCUAACUCCGUGCCAGCAGCCGCGGUAAUACGGGGGAUGCGAGCGUUAUCCGGAUUUAUUGGGUUUAAAGGGUGCGCAGGCGGUCUGUUAAGUCAGCGGUAAAAGCCCGGGGCGAAACCCCGGCCCGCCGUUGAAACUGGCAGUCUCGAGUGGGAGAGAAGUAUGCGGAAUGCGCGGUGUAGCGGUGAAAUGCAUAGAUAUCGCGCAGAACUCCGAUUGCGAAGGCAGCAUGCCGGCUCCACACUGACGCUGAGGCACGAAAGCGUGGGUAUCGAACAGGAUUAGAUACCCCGGUAGUC
rnacentral:rRNA from 1 species